rnacentral:rRNA from 1 species
UACGAAGGGGGCGAGCGUUGUCCGGAGUUACUGGGCGUAAAGGGCAUGCAGGCGGUCGGACGCGUUUUGUGUGACAGCGGGUGGCUCAACUACCCCGACGCAUGCGAAAGACGGUCGGACUUGAGGACUCGAGAGGGACACGGAAUUCCGGGUGGAGUGGUGAAAUGCGUAGAGAGUCCGGAGGAACACCGAAGGCGAAGGCGAGUGUCCUGGCGAGUGACUGACGCUGGAGGUGCGAAAGCCAGGGGAGCGAACGGG